UGAGUUUGAAAGUUGAAAAAAAUACUUCUGAGAAAAUAUAACAUGAUAUUUAAAGCAAAAGAUGCUGGAGUCAAUCGAAAAAGGAAACCUUUGACUUUGUAUUAUUGCCAAGUUUGUAUGGCCAAAACAAACAACCAACAAGGCUACAAAACGUCUAUGCAACACCAAAAUCGUAAGAAAUAUGAAACUAUUGUUGAAGAAAUAAGAUUACAACUCACUCAGGUAAUGUAGCCUUCAUUUUUUAAACUCGUAAGCUGCUUGCAGAAUGUUAUCGAGCCACAGCCAUAGUUCAUAUUUUCCCGUACGAAUCAAUGACAUUUGACGUUCUCUUGUGAUUUUUGACCUCUUGUUUUCUUUCAUAUUAAUGUCAAAUUCGAAAAAUUAUACUUUCAUUCUAUAGUUGUCUUGAUUUUUCACGGAAUAACCUUUAUAUUGACGUUAAAAUCUCAGUAAAAUACAGUUUUUCGCUUCUGGAUAAACACUGUCGCUAUGUUGUCAUUUUUCCCACACAAAACCGGGAGAAAAACCGGUCGCUUUUAUAAUAUACUCGUUCACCGCUUUCGUUGUGGGCACAAAGUCUUAAAAUACACACAAAAUGUUAUAAAUCGCAAAAGGCAACAAGAAACAAGCCGUUGAAGUCGAUAUAUAGCAUCUGAAUUUGGCUUGUCAAGCAGUUUUCGCUUGUAUUCCCGCGUUUUUUUCCCGUAUCCUAGGAUACGAGGCCUCGUCACGAUUUAUGAAUAAGGUCUAUGGUUUAAUCAAUUAUUUUGAAAAUUUAAAAAAAUUCUGUCGAGCCAAAACUUUUAAAAUUACGUAAAGGUGAAUAGGUGAUUUUUUAAAUUGUAAAAAUAAUUAAUUAUACUAAGAGAAAUCAUUUUUUAAAAUAAAAUUUGGGGGUCACCGAUGUCGUUUACGAGUUAAAUUACUUUAUUUACCAAAAUAUCCGCCAUCUUGAAACGUCAUUGUUGCCAUAGCAAUGGCAGUUGCGUAACUUUUGUGCAAAAAGCUCACUACGGACACUUAUACGGAUCAUAGAGAUUACAUCACCAAAUUUCAACUUCGCUGCAAGGGGAAAGAAUAUUUUCUAUUUUGUCAGAAACUAGACAGCUUGAAUAGUUCCUAUCACCAGUUUCUAUUUAUCAUGGAAGACAAAUUGAAUGUAAAGAAAUCUUAUAAUACACUUAAUAGGGAGUGAAAAGUUUCCAGCUUUUUUACACAAACAAUUAUGAAUUAUGUAUACAGAUUACAGUAUUUACUCGUUUAAGCGCAGCAUUGGAUUAAGCGCCUCGUAAAUAUUGAAGGCGCCGCC